CAUUCUUGUUCCAUUUUUCAAUUACUGAUUGGUUUGGCGUUAACAAUAUCAUCAUACGAAACAUUAGAAAAAAUGAGCACAAAAUUAAGUUGUUGUUUCACCCAUGGUACAGUUGGAUACAUAAAUGCUGACAGAGCAUCAAGUAUUGUGUAAAAUACUAGCAAUUUAUAUACACAAGAAAAUAUUAUGAUAGUGACUUGCAUGAGUGCAUUUUUUUCCCAUACUAGACUGUUUGUGGUGGCUCAGCCGCAAGUGCACUAUGUAUAUCUUUAUGUUGGAG
rnacentral:lncRNA from 1 species